CGGCUGGGUCCCAGCGCCACUCCCGCUGCUCGCUCACCUCUGCCGUCCUCCUGCGCCACCAACACGGCCAGCUGGGCCAUCCCCAGCAGCAACAGCAGUACCCACAGCCCGCGCUGCCUCAUCUCGCCACACGCAAAACAACGCAACUCCACUCCGACCCCCCACGACCUGACACCCUCCGAUUCACUGCAGCCUCGGGGUAAAGCCAAGCGCCUGCUCUGAGGUGCCUCCUCCUCAUUGGCUGCCCGCGGGCCGCCAACCGCCGUCCGCCACGAGCAGCGGGCGCAGCCGUGCUCCAAGCGGCGACAGGGGAGGGGCGGGACUUCGAGGGGCCGGGACGCAGCACUGACGCUCGGGAUUGGCGAGUCGGCACGAUAGCACUGUCUCUCUA
rnacentral:lncRNA from 1 species